rnacentral:rRNA from 1 species
UGGGGAAUAUUAGACAAUGGGCGCAAGCCUGAUCCAGCCAUACCGCGUGGGUGAAGAAGGCCUUCGGAUUGUAAAGCCCUUUUGUUGGGAAAGAAAUCCAGCCGGCUAAUACCUGGUUGGGAUGACGGUACCCAAAGAAUAAGCACCGGCUAACUUCGUGCCAGCAGCCGCGGUAAUACGAAGGGUGCAAGCGUUACUCGGAAUUACUGGGCGUAAAGCGUGCGUAGGUGGUCGUUUAAGUCCGUUGUGAAAGCCCUGGGCUCAACCUGGGAACUGCAGUGGAUACUGGGCGACUAGAGUGUGGUAGAGGGUAGCAGAAUUCCUGGUGUAGCAGCGAAAUGCGUAGAGAUCAGGAGGAACAUCCAUGGCGAAGGCAGCUACCUGGACCAACACUGACACUGAGGCACGAAAGCGUGGGGAGCAAACAGGAUUAGAUACCCUGGUAGUCCACGCCCUAAACGAUGCGAACUGGAUGUUGGGUGCAAUUUGGCACGCAGUAUCGAAGCUAACGCGUUAAGUUCGCCGCCUGGGGAGUACGGUCGCAAGACUG